UCUUGCUCUAGCUAAGCGUUACCCCAGGACGAUAAAAGAGCAAGAGAGGGACGAUAGCUGACUGUCUUCUUCCCAUAACUAGAUAGACAGUCAGUAUGCUGUUGUUACUUUCGGUUUUUAUAUCACUGACAUGUCAGUAUGCUGACGCAGCUGGUGCCGCCAGUUUGAGAUUAACAGGAGGUGGAUCAAGGUAUGGUUUUGUAGAAAUGAACAUUGGUGGGGUUUGGCGACCGGUUUGUCCUGGAGAUAAUUAUAACCAGUACAACGAUGGAGAAAUACCGAGUAUUAUUUGUAAACAACUAGGAUAUGUAUCUGGUAUAUAUUAUGAUAUGGGGAUGAAGUCUACUGCUAACUCAUGGUGGUACAAUCAAUUUGAAAAGGAGUCUUACAUGGAACCUUCCGUUCCUAACUUGGAUGCUUACGUUAAAGGAAGGUGGCUAAGCGUCACUGCAACGGGAGAGUUUUCUUAUUGCCCUAGCUCCAGUAUUGCUGUGAACU